AGCAGCCGCGGUAAUUCCAGCUCCAAUAGCGUAUAUUAAAGUUGUUGCAGUUAAAAAGCUCGUAGUUGAAUUUCGGGAUCAAUACGCCUGUCGUGCCUUCGGUACGUACGGGUGUAAUUGGUCUCUACCUUCUGAGGAUCCUUGAUGUCAUUAAUUUGGUGUCUUGGGGAAUCAGGACUGUUACCUUGAAAAAAUUAGAGUGUUUAAAGCAGGCAUACGCUUGAAUACAUUAGCAUGGAAUAAUGAAAUAGGACGUUCGAUUCUAUUUUGUUGGUUUCUAGGAUCGACGUAAUGAUUAAUAGGGAUAGUUGGGGGCAUUAGUAUUCAAUUGUCAGAGGUGAAAUUCUUGGAUUUAUUGAAGACUAACUACUGCGAAAGCAUUUGCCAAGGAUGUUUUCAUUAAUCAAGAACGAAAGUUAGGGGAUCGAAGACGAUCAGAUACCGUCGUAG
rnacentral:rRNA from 1 species